AGCGAACGCUGGCGGCAGGCCUAACACAUGCAAGUCGAACGAAGUCUUCGGACUUAGUGGCGGACGGGUGAGUAACACGUGGGAACGUGCCCUUUGGUACGGAAUAACUCAGGGAAACUUGAGCUAAUACCGUAUGUGCCCUUCGGGGGAAAGAUUUAUCGCCAUUGGAGGAGCCUGCGUCCGAUUAGCUAGUUGGGGGGGUAACGGCCUACCAAGGCGAUGAUCGGUAGCUGGUCUGAGAGGAUGAUCAGCCACACUGGGACUGAGACACGGCCCAGACCCCUACGGGAGGCAGCAGUGGGGAAUAUUGGACAAGGGGCGCAAGCCUGAUCCAGCAAGGCCGGGUGGAUGAAGAAGGUCUUCGGAUUGUAAAGUCCUUCCGGCGGGGACGAGGAUGACGGUACCCGAAGAAGAAGCCCCGGCUAACUUCGUGCCAGCCGCCGCCGUAA
rnacentral:rRNA from 1 species